UUCAAGGAAGCCAAGUUGCAAGACCCUGCUCUGCUUUGCUACAUGAAAAUUUUAGUUGCAAGAUAUAUCAUUUCAUAAACCCUAUCACACAUUGCUCGGUGCAUCCUUGGGAUUAUAACAUUAUGAAGGUAAGACUACCUGACUUAAUAAGGCCUAAUCAACAAUAUAUGGAGACUUGCUCCUACCGCCUCAUAUCAAUUUAAUUUGUUUUUGCUGCAGCUGGAUUCCGGCCAAACUGGACAAUUAUUGGUUUGCCUUUGAAUACAUAUCCAUUUACGAGGUUCUGCAAGGAAGGAGAAUCCAAUUGAAUACUACAUGAGCAGUCCAUCACUGCUACCAAAGACAACAAAGAAUUGAUAG
rnacentral:lncRNA from 1 species